UGAUGGUGAGCAGACAUGCCAGCCCAUCUCUUCAGUGCAUCCCUAUUUUCUGAGGAACCACUUGGGUCAAGGACGACCCACAUCUUAGUAGAAAGAUUUCCAUUUUAAAGAUAAACCAGGGAUAGAAUAUCUUCAGAGCUGCUUGCAAAGGCAGCAUUUACCAGAUAUGACUAAAUCUUUCUAACAGCAACACAACGUAAAAAUCUUUCUAACAGCAACACUAUAGACAAAGACAGAGAGAAAGAGAUGAAGGAAGGAAAGAAUAGAAAUGAGAUGAUCAGGCGUUGGCAACAAUUUGGACCCAGAGCACUUUCUGUCAGGUAAUGUGACCUCCCUCCGCACUUUACAACUUGCAAAAUACAAGAAUGAAUUAUGUUCUUUAAUUUUCAAAAAUAACUAACUAUAGAAAUGCAUAAAUAUGGUAACAACAGUGUUUUGUUAUUAUUAUAUUAAAAUAUUAUUGAUAUUUGAAAGUGAGAGAGAGAGAGAGAGAGAGAGAGAGAGAGAGAGAGAACUAUUAAUACCAAUUGGUUAUAGAGAGACUUUUCCUGAGAGAGAGAGAGAGAGAGAGAGAGAGAGAGAGAGAGAGAGAGAGAGAUUUCUCAGUAUAUCCUUUGACCCCAAGAUGGCUGCAAUUAUUAAAGACUUACUAAGGUUGCAACACUCCCCUAUCCUUGCUGUCUGUCAGGUUUCUUGACAAUGUUGCAGCUCCAGCCUCACCCCUCUUUCUCCAAGUCACAAGCUGAAAGAUUGGGAUUACCUUCAUUUUCUUGCAUAAUUGUUUUAUUUAUAAACUGAAAUCUUGCUAAUUCACUAUAGUAUUUUCUUUAAUGAAUUGAUAUCAUUUCUAUUUACAUUAAUAUUAUUUGAAUAUUAGGAAAUCGUUUAUUUACCAUACAAAACACAUAUAUCUCAUUAAGAGAGAGAGAGAGAGAGAGAGAGAGAGAGA